CGGGGUUCGAGGUCCCAGGUCCGCGGACACCGUGCGCCGGGAUGCCCCGGACAGCGCGGCUCUGCGGGCGGCGGGUUUGUGACUGCGUCCGUGCUCCAGAGAGGCGACUGUGCAAGCGGGGACCGCACGGGCUGGAAGUAUGGCCACUGUCUCAGGAAACAACUAGCUGGUCUCCCAGCCGGUCAGGACAGCCUCCGAAGAAUGCUGAGGCCAGAAGCUGCGGGGAGAGCUCAAGUGCUGUCUCCUCUCUGUAGCUGCGCAGAGGCCGCCCCACCUGAAUGACACACCGCAGGGCCUGGGAUUCAGCACAUUUGAAAUCCAAACUCCUUCCUGUGGCCUAGAAAGCCUUAUACUAUCUGGUCCCUACUUCUCCUGUGACUGCAAAACUCCCUCCCACUCUCCGCUCCAGCCACACUGACGUUUUUUUCUAUUCCUUAAAACAAACCAAGACAAUUCCUUUUGGAGCCUUUUGCACUUGCUUUUUCCUCUGCCUGUGAUGUUCUUCCUCUGUCACAUCCCAUGGCUCCCAUAUGCUUCAUUCAGGUCUCUGUUCAAAUGUUUUAUCCUCAUAAGAGCCUUUAAAAAUUCUGCUUCUCAUCAUUCUUCAUCCUCUAUGCUGCUUUAUUUUUCUUCGUGGUGUCAUCAUUACUUCCACUUUACUACAUAUAUAUUUGUGGAUUUUUAUGUGUUUUGUUUUGGCCUUUCUUCCCAGCUAGCAUAUAAACUCCAUGAAGAUAGAGAUUCUUUAUGACUUGUUCCCAGUUGUGUCUUCAGCGCCUACAAUGUGCCUAGCCCAUGGGAGGCCCUCAAUAAAUAUUCACUGAGUGAAUGAAUGUACAAAUGAUCGCCCCGCUUCCGCUGGCCAAAGCAUGCCUGCACCAUGCUCUCUGGGGAAAUGUUGAGACGGAACUGGAAAAUCUUGACUUCCUUGGAGCUUCACUUUUAGGAGAAGAUAAGGUCUCGGAUGCCAUUUGGAAAAGAUGGAUGUCAUUUGGGAAAGAGAUCAGGCUCCGGGCUUCUAGGAACACUCAGAUAUGGGGAGUGUCAGCAAGCAAGGCCACUCUUUGAAGCUGGAUUCUCUACUGCAGGGCCCCCCUGUCCACAAGGGGACAUGGCUACAGUGAACCAACGUGUAGGAAGCAGUCAAUUACAGGAGCAAAGACACAGACUUUGGAGAUAGACAGGCUUAUGUUUUAGUCCUGGCUUUUUUAGCUAUGUGGUUUUAGGCAAAUUAUUUGACAGCUCUGAGCCUCAGUUCCGUCACAUAUAAAAUGGGGAUAAUUAUAUCUUCAUCACGGGGUUGUAGGGAUAAAAUGAGAUCAUGCAUGUCAAAUGCUUAGCAUAGUGCUCAAUGGAUGGCAGCUAUUAUUAGAAUUAAUUAAGCAAAGAGAACCUCAGAGGAGGAUAGUCAACGAGGGCAGGGCUUUCUUGGCUGAACAUAGGUGGAUAACAUAGGUGGAAUAUGAGCUCAGCUCAAGCAGGGUGGGGUCAGCCUCCUUGCCCGGGGAACACUUGCCUUAUCUUACCUGCUCUGGUGACCCCCAUGGGACAGAUGGGUGGGGCUUACAGACACCUGGCUCAGCCGCAUGCUCAGGAAAACAGCAUAAAGAGAUGGCAUCAAGAGGCUGUCCUGGCCACUAGCUUUUCAGAGUUGCGGGUUUCUGGUCUGAGGCCUUGCAUCUAGACAGGCUUUCCAUUGGAAGGCAAGGUGAGGCUGCUUCUGGGAAAGCCAUGUUUUCCGGCACUCGCCGCUAGCUGAGGGCACUGAACCUGGCAGGGGAAGGCGAUUCUGAACUUCCACUCACUGCCAAACGAACCCAUCUGGAAUCCCGCUUUCUUCAUUGCUACCACCAUUGCUGAAGAAUUUGCAAUGGCUCCCUAUUGCCUGUGACCAUUGGCAAGUGGCCUAACCUUUUGGGACCCCAAUGCUCUCGUUGUUAUGGAGGGAUGAGGUGGACUGGAAGGUUGAGCUGCAAUUCAGUUCCUCUAGCAGGUCAAGACCAAAUUCUCCAUGCUUCUGUUAAGGCCCACUCCAUCGGUUCAACUUUACAUCCCACAACCCCAGUGCCUGACCUUUCCUACCCAGCCACGCUGCUCCUCCUUGAUCUCAAACACCCUGCCUGUGCCCAUUUUUAUGCACUGUCUUAUCCCCUUCUCUCUCUCUGGGAUGUCUGCUUUGUCUGUGUUUCCACACUUCGGUGCUCAAAUAUUAGAGUGGUUAAGAAUAAAGGCU